rnacentral:rRNA from 1 species
ACGGGGCCCGCACAAGCGGUGGAGCAUGUGGUUUAAUUCGACGCAACGCGAAGAACCUUACCAGGGCUUGACAUCCCCUGACCGCGUAUGAAAGUACGUUUUCACCCUCGGGUGACAGGGAGACAGGUGGUGCAUGGUUGUCGUCAGCUCGUGUCGUGAGAUGUUGGGUUAAGUCCCGCAACGAGCGCAACCCCUACGUUUAGUUGCUAACGCGUGAAGGCGAGCACUCUAGACGAACUGCCGUUGACAAAACGGAGGAAGGUGGGGAUGACGUCAAAUCAUCAUGCCCCUUAUGUUCUGGGCUACACACGUGCUACAAUGGCCGGUACAGACGGACGCAAAGCCGCGAGGUGGAGCAAAUCCUAAAAAGCCGGUCUCAGUUCGGAUUGCAGGCUGCAAUUCGCCUGCAUGAAGUCGGAAUCGCUAGUAAUCGCAGGUCAGCAUACUGCGGUGAAUACGUUCCCGGGCCUU